AUUGAACGCUGGCGGCAGGCCUAACACAUGCAAGUCGAGCGAGCGGCGGACGGGUGAGUAAUGUAUGGGGACUGCCCGAUAGAGGGGGAUAACUACUGGAACCGAUGGCUAAUACCGCAUACUCUCGGAUAACCCAUAUGGGAUUAGCUAGUAGGUGGGGUAAAGGCUCACCUAGGCUACGAUCUCUAGCUGGUCUGUGAGGAUGAGAGGCCACACUGGGACUAGGAAACUGCCCAAACUCCUACGGAGGCAGCAUUGGGGAAUAUUGCACAAUGGGCGAAAGCCUGAUGCAGCCCUGCCGCGUGUAUGAAGAAGGCCUUAGGGUUGUAAAGUACUUUCAGCGGGGAGGCGUUACCCGCAGAAGAAGCACCGGCUAACUCCGUGCCAGCAGCCGCGGUAAUAC
rnacentral:rRNA from 1 species